AGAGUUUGAUCAUGGCUCAGAUUGAACGCUGGCGGCAGGCUUCACACAUGCAAGUCGAACGGUAACAGGGAGAAAGCUUGCUUUCUUUGCUGACGAGUGGCGGACGGGUGAGUAAUGCUUGGGAAUCUGGCUUAUGGAGGGGGAUAACUACGGGAAACUGUAGCUAAUACCGCGUAAUAUCUUCGGAUUAAAGGGUGGGACUUUCGGGCCACCUGCCAUAAGAUGAGCCCAAGUGGGAUUAGGUAGUUGGUGGGGUAAAGGCCUACCAAGCCGACGAUCUCUAGCUGGUCUGAGAGGAUGACCAGCCACACUGGAACUGAGACACGGUCCAGACUCCUACGGGAGGCAGCAGUGGGGAAUAUUGCACAAUGGGGGGAACCCUGAUGCAGCCAUGCCGCGUGAAUGAAGAAGGCCUUCGGGUUGUAAAGUUCUUUCGGUGAUGAGGAAGGCAGGUAAGUUAAUAGCUUACUUGAUUGACGUUAGUCACAGAAGAAGCGCCGGCUAACUCCGUGCCAGCAGCCGCGGUAAUACGGAGGGUGCGAGCGUUAAUCGGAAUGACUGGGCGUAAAGGGCACGCAGGCGGUGACUUAAGUGAGAUGUGAAAGCCCCGGGCUUAACCUGGGAAUUGCAUUUCAUACUGGGUCGCUAGAGUAUUUUAGGGAGGGGUAGAAUUCCACGUGUAGCGGUGAAAUGCGUAGAGAUGUGGAGGAAUACCGAAGGCGAAGGCAGCCCCUUGGGAAUAUACUGACGCUCAUGUGCGAAAGCGUGGGGAGCAAACAGGAUUAGAUACCCUGGUAGUCCACGCUGUAAACGCUGUCGAUUUGGGGAUUGGGCUUAGAGCUUGGUGCCCGUAGCUAACGUGAUAAAUCGACCG
rnacentral:rRNA from 1 species